CUCCUACAUAUUGUUUUCAAACAAAGGCCAAGCAUCAUAGCAUUUUAUCCAUACAUAUUUCACUAUGUGGCUAGCAGAGAAGAACUUUUCUUCUUUAGCAUAACCACAUCUAAUUAUCACAACUAAAAUAAUUAAUAAUAAUUCCUUAAUAAAAGAAAGUUGUUUCUCAACUCACAACCUUCUGACACCAAAUGUGUGGGUUUUCCACACCAACCAGUUCUGACACGAACUACCCCAAAGUUAGCACAAACCCCACAGGUUAAGGGCUCAGUCCCACAAGACUAGCCCCCACUUCAGACAUCAGUCACAAGUCGUGGGUCCCCAGGUUACCCACAGAUCUGUCCAACUUGGCUGCAAAUCAAGAGUUCCCACAACCCCUCCUCGGGCUUGGUCAUUUGCUGUCAUGGCUCAAAGAACUCAGAGAAGCACUUUACUUAGUAUUACCAGUUAGUUCAUUCUAAAGGAUGUGAUAAAGGAUACAGGUGAGCAGUGAGAUGAAGAGGUACACAGUACAAGUUCUGGAAGGGUCCUAAGCUCAGGAGCUUCUGUCCCCGUGGAGGUGAGAUGCACCACUCUCCCAGCAGACAAAUGUGUUCACCAACGAGCAGGCUCCCCUGAACCCCACUGUUUAAAGUUUUUAUGAAGGUUCCAUUAUGUAGGUGUGGCUGAUUAAAUCACUGGCAGCUGGCGACUGACUCACUCUCCAUCCUCUCUCCUCUCCCGGAGGAGGUCAGGGGGUGGGAUGGCAAGUUCCAGCCCUCUAACACACGGUUUGUUUCCUUACCAACCAGCCCCCAUCCUGAAGCUCCCGAGGGGCUCCCAGCCGCCAGCCAUCUCAUUAGCAUACAGAAGACACCGUCACUCCAGAGAUUCCAAGAGUCUUAGAAGCUCUUGUUUCAGGAACUAGGGUCUAAGACCAAACAUUAUAUAAUAAAAGAUGCUCCUAGCACCUCUGUCACUCAGGAAAUUACAAGGAUUUUAGAGGCUCUGUGCCAGGAACUGGGGGCAGAGACCACAUAUAUUUCUUAUUAUAUCACAAUAUCACACUUAAUAUAAUCAAAUAUCUGGGCAGUAUUUAAAUUUCAAAAUCUUUUAUAAAUGACAAUUGUUAUUUUUUUUUAAUUCAAGAUUCACACAAAGUCCACACAAAGUAAUUAGUUGUAUGUAUCUUAAGUCUUUCAAACUACAGGUACCGCUUCCCUCUGUUUUCUUUCCCCUUCCAAUUUAUUUGUUGUAGAAAAGAUCAUUGGUCUUGUAGAGGUUCCAGUCUGGACUUGGCUGACUGCAUUCCCAUGGUGUAAUUUAACAUGUUCCUCUGUCCUCUGUAUUGUCUGAAACCUACUAGUGAGACCUAAAGUCUUGGCCAGAUUCAGGGUUUCCUCCUCUUUCUCAGCAGGGGCAAUUCGUGUGUGGUGCUGGAGAGAUGUGUUGUUUGUCUUUUGGUGACUUCAGUAGCCAUUGAUGAUCAAUGCCCGGAUCCAUUCAUUGAUUAGGGGUUACAAAAUGGUGAUAUUCUAAGUGUAUCAUUCCUUUUUUUUUUUUUAAUUUUUUUGGUGAGGAAAAUUGGCCCUGAGCUAACAGCUCUUGCCAAUCUUGCUCUUUUUGCUUGAGAAAGAUUGCCCCUGAGCUAACAUCUGUGCCAGUCUUCCCCAGUUUGUACGUGGGAUGGCACAGGAUGGCUUGAGGAGCUGUGCGUAGGGGAACUAAACCUGCCAACUGUGGGAGGCUGAAGCAGAGCAUGCAAGCUUAACCACUACACCACUGGGCAGGCCCCUGUAUCAUUCCUUCUUCAUUCAUUACCUGGAAUAUUUCUAUAAAGAGAACCAUGCCCCUCCCCAAUACACACACACCUACAAUUUGGUUCCACUGAGGCAAGUUCUUACAGGAAAGGUAAGGAAAUAAUUUCCUUUUAUUUACCAGUUUUCAGUGUGAGGAGAUAAUUCUCUAGCAUCCCAGAAAGACGACUAGUAAGGAUUUUUUAAAUUGUUAUAAACUUGUGAAUUCAAACGUAUUUGAUAUAAGCAUCUUUGAUGUGUUUCAACCCAUUGCAGUUAUUACCCCUGUGAUUAUGUAAGAUAUUUACAGGAGUCCACUCUUAUCUGCAGUUUCACUUUCCAUGGUUUCAGUUAUUCCUGGUCAACCACAGUCUAAAAAUAUUAAAUAAAAGAUUCCAGAAAUAAACAACUCAUAAGCUUUAAAUUGUGCCGCAUUCUGAGUAGCCUGGUUAAAUCUCGCUCCUUCCUGUCUGGGAUGUGAAUCAUCCCUCUGUCCAGUGUACCCGCACUGUAACUGCUGCCUGCCCACAGUUGUCAGAUCAGCUGUUGGGGCACCGCAGCACUUGUGCUCAGGUGACCUUUGUUUUACUUAAUGAUGGCCCCAAAGUGCAACAGUAGUGAUGCUGGCAAUUCAGAUGUGCCAAAGAGGAAGUGCUUCCUGUAAGUGAAAAGCUGAAAGCUCUUGUCUUAAUAAGGAAAGGGAAAAAAAUCUAUGCUGGGGCCAGCCCCGUGGCCGAGUGGUUAAGUUCACGCGCUCUGCUUUGGAGGCCCAGGGUUUUGCUGGUUCGGAUCCCAGGCGUAGACAUGGCACCGCUCAUCAGGCCAUGCUGAGGCAGCGUCCCACAUGCCACAACCAGAAGGACCCACAGCUAGAAUAUACGACUACCUACUGAGGGGCUUUGAGGAGAAGAAGAAGGAAAAAAAGAAGACUGGCAACAGAUGUUACCUCAGGGACAAUCUUUAAAAAGAAAAUCUAUGUUGAGAUAGCUCAGAUCUAUGAUAACUUUUAUUACAGUAUAUUGUUAUAAUUGUUCUAUUUUAUUAUUAGUUAUUGUUGUUAAUCUCUCACUGUGCCUAAUUUAUAAAUCAAACUUUAUAACAGAUAUAUCUGUAAAGGAAAAAACAGAGUAUGUAUAGAAUUCAAUACUAUCCACGGUUACAAGCAUCCACUGGGGGUCUUGGAAGGUAUCCCCCACAGAUACAGGGGGACUACUGUGCAUGGUUCCAAAACCAAAUCUGCAAAACAAGCCAAAGUCAAGAAAAUUCAGUUUUUAUCCCUGUCCUCUCCACCCUGUCUCCUCCUUCUCCUUACAGGUACCUUGUUGUUUUAGACUAAACACACACACACACACACACACACACACACACACACACACACACACACACACAUAUAUAUAUAUAUAUCCCUUUUCUUAUAUAACAGGAGCAUACUCCAUUCUCUAUCACAUGACAAAAAGCACGUCAUGCACCAGUUUGUAGCAUUUGAUCCCAAACAAAAUACACUGUUUAAGUGUGCAGUAAUAGUAAAAACAUUUUGAUGUCUCUAACCGCAUCUCUGUAUCUCUGCUCCAGGGGUCCUACAAGCUGGCAGAUCCCUUGUUGGCCCAGUGGAGAUGGAUCUGAAACUGAGGGUGAAGGAGUUAAAAUUUCCCUGGGUCAGGGUGAAACUGCCUUGUACCCACAAGGUUAACGUGGGAAACAAAAUAACCAAAGUUUCUGAGCUUGCCUUGCAGAACAGCAGGAGGACCAGUGAUAAUAGAGGAACUUCCAGACAGCACCCUCGCCUGACUCAGCAUCUUGGAGGAGCAUUGAGAAGCUAAAAUGACUGCUUGUAGACGUUAGACAUCACAGACUAAAACUCCACCCCAUGCAACACAUAGAACAGACAUUCACGCCUGUGCAGAGGACUCUUAGAACUUUAGCCCCCAAGGCCACAUGCUCCCCCUCCUCUGCCUAAAACCCCAAAUAAAAACCCAGGGGCCAGCCCCGUGGCUGAGUGGUUAAGUUCACACGCUCUGCUUUCGCGCCCCAGGGUUUCACUGAUUCGGAUCCUGGGUGUGGACCUCACACUGCUGUCAGGCCAUGCUGAGGUGGCAUCCCACAGAGCACAAUCAGAAGGACCUGAAACUAGAAUAUACAACUACAUACUGAGGGGCCUUUGGGAGAAGAAGAAGAAAAGAGGGGAAAAAAAGAAGAUUGGCAACAGAUCUUAGCUCAGGAGGCAAUCUUUAAAAAAAACCCAUGCUUGCAGUUUUUCACGGAGUUCAGGCACCCAUUCUCCCUGCUCAGCGUUUCACAAUAAAGUUCCUACUUUCUUCCAUUACACCCAGUGUCAUAGAUUGGCUGCACAACGGUGAUCGUUCACUUCAGGUUUGAUAUUAGAUCUUGGCUGUACAC
ensembl:lncRNA